UUCCCAAAAUGUGCCUCCAGUGACAUUACCUCAGUGGGAUACAAUGAACACACAGGCAUGGAGUCUCCAAAUUAAACAAGAUUAAGCUUAUUUCCUCACCGUAGGACUUUACAGAGCCUUUAAUAUUUCACUAUGGAUGUGAGUCUAUAAAAGGUGAUAAAAGGUCCCUGGACAAGUAAUAUCUACAUAGAAGAAUGAGUGAGAAAAAAUGCCAUAUUAUUAAUAGCUGCUCAAGUGUCCAGUACCUCACUGCAGAGCUCUCCUGCAAAUGGUGACAGUGAAACAUAGAACUUCUAACUUACGAGGGCUGUUGGGGGAUGAGAGCUGCUGCUGAUCAACGGACAAGGAAACGA